CCUACGGGUGGCAGCAGUGAGGAAUAUUGGUCAAUGGGCGCGAGCCUGAACCAGCCAAGUAGCGUGAAGGAUGACUGCCCUACGGGUUGUAAACUUCUUUUAUAAAGGAAUAAAGUGAGGCACGUGUGCCUUUUUGUAUGUACUUUAGGAAUAAGGAUCGGCUAACUCCGUGCCAGCAGCCGCGGUAAUACGGAGGAUCCGAGCGUUAUCAGGAUUUGUUGGGUUUAAAGGGAGCGGAGGUGGGGUGUUAAGGCAGUUGUGAAAGUUUGCGGCUCAACCGUAAAAUUGCAAUUGAUACUGGCAGCCUUGAGUACAGUUGAGGUAUGUGGAAUUCGUGGUGUAGCGGUGAAAUGCUUAGAUAUCACGAAGAACUCCGAUUGCGAAGGCAGCUUACUAGACUGCCACUGACAUUGAUGCUCGAAAGUGUGGGUAUCAAACAGGAUUAGAUACCCCAGUAGUC
rnacentral:rRNA from 1 species